rnacentral:rRNA from 1 species
AGGGUUCGAUUCUGGCUCAGGAUGAAUGCUGGCGGCAUGCCUAAUACAUGCAAGUCGAGCGGUAACAUGAAUAGCUUGCUAUUGAUGACGAGCGGCGGACGGCUGAGUAACGCGUGGGAACAUACCCCAGACUGAGGGAUAACUACUCGAAAGAGUAGCUAAUACCGCAUACGAUCUACGGAUUAAAGCUUUCGGGCGGUUUGGGAAUGGCCUGCGUACGAUUAGAUAGUUGGUGAGGUAAUGGCUCACCAAGUCGACGAUCGUUAGAUGGUUUGAGAGGAUGAUCAUCCAGACUGGGACUGAGACACGGCCCAGACUCCUACGGGAGGCAGCAGUAGGGAAUCUUUCACAAUGGGCGAAAGCCUGAUGGGAAGCAAUGCCGCGUGCAGGACGAGGGCCUUCGGGUUGUAAACUGCUUUUAUAAGUGAGGAAUAUGACGGUAACUUAUGAAUAAGGAUCGGCUAACUACGUGCCAGCAGCCGC